ensembl:lncRNA
GGAGAAUUUACAAAUCUUACUAUUGCGACGACUCUACUUAAUAUUCAUAACCCGUUGCUUCGCCAUUGGAACUUUCGCAAGUAACGUCAGCGACACUUAAUUAAAAUUCAAUGAGCAGGCAUUCGCUAUAGGACGGCAACUAAGGGACGCCAGCGUGAACUUAUUAAUAUUCAUACUCAAGCACUUUCUUAUAGGAAGGUUAGCGAGAAACGUUAUCACAACCUACUUGAUAUUCAUAAAUAGGUCUUUGCCAUAGUAGAAUUAGUAAUUUGGCUAUCAGCAGCUCAGUUCAUCUUUAAAACGGAGCGUGGGAGGGAGAACGGCGGAGAGCAGCAGCCGGGAGGCCAAAAUGUCCAUCAAACGAGGAGUGUGGAUGGCUUGAUGCAGCAAGAAACCAAAGUGAUCCGUGGGAGUGGAUCUGAUGGCCUCGGUGGAGUUGCUCUACAUAGAUAAUACAGGGGGAAGACCUGAUCCUCCCAGAGUACUGGAUUGGUCUUCAAGCCCACUUCAUGUUCACAGGCUAAGCAGUUCAGUGGAAGAAGCUUCUCCCACUCUGAAGAGGCCUGCCUGUGAGGGACAGUGUAAUUCAGCACCAAGGACGGCUCCCGUCACAGGACAGCAUGGCCAGCACCGGCAUCAGCCCCUAGAGAAGGUCAGGGUGUGUUGUGAUGAGGAGCUGGAGACCUCGUUUGCUUACAUAGAUGAAAACGUCAAUCUCAGGUUGGCCACCCCAGACACAAGUGAGAAAAGCGCUCACCGUGCGAUUUCGCUCCAUGACUCCACAAGCGAAAUCUGUCCUGAGGGCCUCCAGGAGUUGUCGCUGAUGUCUGACGUUGACCUCAGCUCAGAGAGUUCGGGGAAAUCUGUGGAUUACGGAUUCAUCAGUGCAGUCACGUUCCUCAUCACCGGGAUCUCGCUGGUGAUCAUAUCGUACACGGUCCCUCGUGACGUCAGAGUGAACCGCGACAACGUCUCUGCGCGUGAAAUGGAAAGACUCGAGAACGAGAGUGCCAGGAUAGGUGCGCACCUUGACAGACAUGGACACAAACUAAAAUCAUGAUCUUCAGAGGAAGAGAAAGGAAUACGUCCAAACAUGCUCCAUGUAAAAGAAGCCAGUAAAGUAAUACAUCAGCUGAAAGUGACAAAGAAGAUGGGUUUGACCUGAAUCAUUGAUAAACUUUUGACUGGAAACGGGAAGCUCCCUUCCUGGUUUCUCCUGAUUGACACUAUAUUCUUACUCCUCGCCUCUAGCUUCUGAAUACCAGCUGUAGCAACUAUGACCCAGGGUAUGAGACACUUGAGGAGACUGUCUACAACAUCAACACUGUUAUUCAAAUUAACUGAAUCAAGACUAAAAUGACUUGAGCUGAAUAUUGUCUUCUGUAGAGUUGUGUACUAUAGCUAAAUUAAGCUUGUUUCAUAAAUUUAAUGAACUUUGCAAUACUAUUGAAUUAAACUGAAUGAAUAGUUAACUGACUUAAGUUGAAUGAUGACACUGUAUUGUCUUCUGCAGAGCUACUUUAUAGUUGAACUAAACUUGCUUCACAACUUUGCAAUAUUCACAUCAUUGAACUAAACUGAAUCAACACUGAACUAGACUGAGUUGAAUAAGGCACUGUUGUCUUUUUUAGAGCUUUAACAGCUGAAAUUUUAUUUGUUUCAUAAUUGGAGAACUCUGUAACAUACUGUUAUUUUCUUGUUUAUUACUGUAAAGCUGCUUUGAAACAAUCUGUAUAAAAAUAAAUAACUUGACU